UUUCUAAGUUUCUUCUUUAUAUCUAUUACAGCUUUGCCUGGUAGGUAACUUGCUCUCCCUGAACAGAGUCCUCUCCUUUCUUUCCUUCCUAGUACUUGUUAUAUAAUUUGUUUCUUUAUUAUUUCAGAUGAAAUUGCUUUAUAGUCAGAAAAACAACUUCCACAAAGAAGUCAAUGCUAUCCUUUAAAAAUAAAAUAGGUCAACAAAAUAGAACAUAUAACUAGGAAAAACAAAAAUGACAAGUUCCAGUCUAUAUUAUAUUAAUUAAUUAUAUUACCUCUCAAUUUACUUUUAGCUAUCUAUCCAAGCAUACUUAAAAUUUCCUCGCUAAUGAAUGUUUGGUAUCUUAAUGAGUGUUUUUAAUGGGUUGCUUGGAUAAGUAACAGCUAGAUUGACUAUGGAAACAUCCAUGAAGUCAUUUAAUUCCAAGGAACCAGAAAAAUAUAAAAAGAAAACUCAGGUGCCUUCUUAUUUUCCUCACUUAAUUUUACACUGAAAUGAUGCCAGGAAAUACAUUAGCAAAGAUUUUAAGGUUAAGAAAACUAAAUUUCUUCUCUUUCCUGUGACCAAUGAAAAAUUCUUAUUUCUUUGCUCCAUUUGAAAGCAAUUAUAGUAGUGCCCUACUUUGGGCUAUCGUCUACAUGACUUUAAAUGUUACAAAAGAUAGCUGAAUACCAAUAAAAUGAAAUUACAAGUAAAAUUACUCAUCCCGUCAUGUGCUGCUUAUAAUUUUCCUGUUGAGCCUCACAUCUGUUACUGAAAUUGCAACUUGGUAAAUGGGAUGCCAUCUAUUUUUCAGGGAUCAUAGAACAUAAAACACAAAUUAUACUUACAUGACAUAGUCCAGAAAGAAGUAAAGGAAGUCGUAUUCAAGGUUCAUUGAAUUAUCUGUUUCAUAGCUGAAAGGUAAUCUAGUCCAAUUUUUUUCAUUUUACUGAUAAAAGAGACUGAUGCACAAUAAGGUCAAGAGAUGUGCAAGACUGUAUAGGUAGCUGAUGCUGGAGAUGGAAUUUAAUAAGCACCCCUGGGUCCAUACCAAGGUCUUCUUUAUCAGAAUGACUCCACUUCUUUGGCACAACUUGAAGCUAAUUCUAACUCAGAAGAUGCCAGUGACAUCUAGAAACAUUUCCAGUGCAUAAGGAGAUCAGUGCUGUCAGAUGAUGGUAGUCAUCCUAUCAAUCAAUCAACAAGUAUUUAUUAAGUGGAUAUCAGAUAUUGAACAAUUUGCGGUAUAUGAUUGUUUUGGAAUGUUAUUGUGCUAUAAGAAAAAAUGAUGGAGGAUGUGAAAACACAAAAAUUAAACAAGUUUAGAUCCCACGAGGGGAGACAAACUCUGUGUCUAGGACAUAAAAGUAUUUAUUGCGGUAAAAAGAGCACUGAGCUGGACUUUGUGUCACAGACAGACUCAUAUACCAAUUCCACUCUUUAUUAGAUGCCUCCCUAAUCCUCUCUAAUUUCUUCCUCAUCAGUAAAAUAUAAAUGACAGUGCCUAUUUUCGCUACUAUAGGAACUAUAAAAAGCAAUUGAUAUAUGUGUGAAAGCUUUCUACAAGUUGCAGAGCUCUCUACAAAGGUGAAUAUUUUCUUUUAAAUUUUCCAAUAGAAAAAUAAUUCAUCUUUCAAAACUGUAGAGGACUGAAUUAAAUUAUAAGAAUAUAAGUCAUUCCCCAGUUGAUAAAUGGUCACAAAAUAUAAACAGGCAUUUUUCACAAGAAGAAAUCAAAACUGAAAAGGCACAAAUCUGCAAUGACAGAGAAAAUUCCUCACUCAGACUUCCUUAUGUCAUUGAAAUCACAGGGUCAGCUCAAAACCAAAACAACAACAAAACACAAUAUAAGUCUAUUAGAGUUGUAAUAGAUGACCAGAAUGGGGUCACCUAUUGUUUUCUUUGGGGACUAGAGAGUGAGAGAGGUGUGACAGAGCCAGAAGAUGGAGAGAGAAGAUAGAUUGAUCCUCCCCUCUCCUCCCCCUAGGGAAAACAACACAAAUUGUCUUUUAGAGGGACAGAAUAUGUCCCUUCAGAGACUGGGUUGAGUAUAAAGGUUAAGGACUGAAGCUGACUCUCCCACCUUGAGGAGAAAGUAUGGCUUUCCUUCCCAAGCUUCAGUUCCCUUCCUUGCUGAUAUGAGGCAGGCAAACUUGGUCUAAGAGGAAUAAUUCUUUUAUUCUAAAGGGACACACAAAACAGGGAGAGUGGGGUUGUUGGAUAAGGAAAGUGGGAAAUGGGAAAUCCCUAUGAGUUAACAACUGACCUCCUCCCCAAAUCCUGAGGGCUCAGGCUAUCUGCCUGACCCUCCUUGGUCAGUUGUGAGAUUUAUCCUUCCUUCUAUCUAACCUAAUUGUGGCUUGAAGUUCAAAGGACAGAUGUUAGGGAAUAGAGAGAAUUCUUCUUUGGGUGAAUGGCUUUCUAAAAAAGUCUCAUCCGCUCUUUUAACUUCAGCUGGAUCCAAGGGGGUUUGGGUUCACUGAGAGGUGGUCAAUGCUCAGAAAGGUCUGUCUCAGAGCUUUCCCUUAGACCAACCACUCCAGGAGAGCUGCCAAAGAGAAGUGAGGUGAUCUGGCAGUUUUCUCCUCAACUCUUCCGUGUUCCUUCCUGGAAUUCUCCAUCUUCCUUGCCCUUCCCCUGCUUGGGUUGCACUUCUUCCAUGCUGGAUCUUAUUUCUCUCUUGCAGAUUGAAUCAUGUGUUAGAGAUUAAUGGAAUAUUUGACUACUUUGAUGUAUUCUGCAUCUAAGUCCUCAGGGAAUUUGCAGCAGAGCUCCCUUGUUCUUCCUCCUGUGAAAGCACUCAGUUCAGUAAUCCUUUUUGUGGGAGCACAUUUAGAAAUAAUAGCCCCAAAUCCCAGGUCUCCCUGCUUUUAUAAUAAUAAUAAUAAUGAUAAUUCACAUUUGCAUGGAGAUCUAAAUAAGCCAAACUCUUUCUCUACGACAUCCUUUUGAAGUAGAUUGAACAAGUAACUCCUGGUAUCUCUAUUUAUGGGUUUAUUUCUCUUUCAUGAUGCUGGAUGGAUCAUGUCACUAUGGAUAUCACCACCACCAAUGUCAUUGUCAUGAGUAUCUUCAUAAUUAUGAUGGUUAUUAUUUUUGUUCCUGUCCUAUAUUAAUAGUUAAUUUAUAGUCAUGGUGCCUGCUGAACAAAGGCAUCUACUUAGCCAGUCAAUACAUAGUGUUUUCCUCCAUGAUGGAGGGUCAUGCUGCUGAUAAGGCACUCUACUGGAAAUAGCAGUGGGUCUGUAAAGACCAACCAAUGAUCAUAUUUUGUCCUUGCAUAAGACUUUUGUCUCAGUCACUGUAACUGCAACCUCUAGAAACUUCUGCAGUUUGUAAUUUUGAAUUUUUUUUUAUUUAGAAGUUAGCCCUGAAUCCAUUGACAAAAAGAGUUCUCCCCAUUCCAAAUGGCCACACCAAAUGCUGGACUUUAAGAGCCACAGACUUGGAGUUGAAGUUCUGGGUUCAAAUACAUGCUCUGUUGCUUAUUAGCUGUGAGAUUAUAUGAAAAAUCAUUUCCUAUUUCUCACCUCAGCUUCCUCAAUUUUAUUUGAAAAUUUUUAUUUAAUUAAUUAACUUAGAAUAUUUUCCCAUGGUUACAUGAUUCAUGUUCUUUCCCUUCUCCCCCUUUCUCCCCCUCCUAUAGCCAAUGAUCAAUUCCACUGGGUUUUACAUGUGCCAUUGAUCAAGACCCAUUUCCACUUUAUUAAUAUUUACAUUAGGCUUCCUCAUCUUUAAAAUGUAGGUCACAAUUGUUAUGUUCCCUAUUACUUAGGUUUGUGGCGCAUAAUGUGCUUUUCAAGUAGCAGGCACUCUAUCAUUGCAUUAAAAAAACAAACAAACUCUUACUUCCAUCCUAGAAUCAAUACUAUGUAUUAGUUCCAAGGAAGAAGAGAGGUAAGGGCUAGGCAAUGGGGGCUAAGUGAAUUGCCCAGGGUCACACAGCUAGGAAUAUCAUUGUGUUUUAUCAAAUGGGAGAGGAAUAGUUGAGGACUAGAAGAAUCUCUGAACUUGGAGUUAGGAGAUCUGAGUUUAAGCUAUAAGUUUAAUUUAGUCAUUAAAUAUGUGAUUAUGGGGAAAUUGCUUGCCCUUUCUAGCCUUGGUUUCCUUAUCUGCAAAAUGGUUGUUACAUUGAAUGUAGUGGCUACAUCCUAGACUUGCUACAGGAAAAGUACUUUGUAGAGAAGUGGGGAUGAUAUGGCAGAAAGAGAACUGUCUUGGGAGCCACAAUACCUGGAGUCAAAUCUGGCCUCUUCUACUACCUGAAAGCUUUGGGAACCUCAUUCAGUCUCCAUGACUCUCAGAUUUUUCAAAACUAAAAUGAGAGGGAAUUCUCCUAGACAACCUUGGAGGUCCCUUCCACCCAAACUUCAACAGAUCCCAUAUUACAUAGAUAAACUAAUAUGAUUUGAUGGUGUUAUUUUCCACAUCACUAUAUGAUACCAUCUCUUGGCUUGUUUCUUUUUUGAGGGGAUGGUGGGGAAGACAAUCAACUCCUAUAUGUGCCAUAUGUGAAUCUAGUUUGGCUUUGUGUGUGUUUUUAACCCUCCUGAGGAAUCCUAGGCUCUAGGGGUACUGCAUGUCUAUCUAUAAUGCUCAUGUGGUUGUGCUGGAAGAGAGUGAGAAGAAAGCACCCUUGUGGAGGCAGCUUCAUCAGUCAUAUCCAUAUCAGCCCUAUGGACUAGUAUAUCACAGGUGGUCUUUUUAAAGCAAAAGAAGGAGCUCUGCCUUUCACUCUCCCUUCAGAAAAUAACAGCCCUUACCGUCUUCUCCGCAUGCUCUGGCAAUGUCCCUGGCGAUUACACAGUAAACACUAAGAAUAGAAAGUGUGGGUAAGGUCUAUGGCAGCUCAUCAUUCUCCCAGAUUAGUAUUUUGAGCAUUUUCAUAAAUGAUUGAUAAAAACUUCACUUAAAAUAAACUGUAAGGAUUUGACUGUAUUCCCAUAUGACGUCCUCAGAGUCAUGGAGAGAAGUACACAUGUUUUCUUCCCCCUUCCCUUCCCUUUCCCUUUUGUGAUCAUAAAGGGCCUCAUGUUGGCUUAGAACUAAUUGCUUGGAAAUCCAAGGAGGUUUCUGACUUUGUCUGAAACUCAUGUUACAUAGGAUUUCCUAGUGCCUUAGUAGGUGUCCCCCAGAAUAGUUUUAAUUAAUUCAACAUUUUUUCAAUUGGGAUAUUUGAUGGCAGACAUAUCCCUCUCCAUUGCUUGUACCAUCUUUUCUAGAUGAUCACUGAAAUAAAAAUGGAAACUAAACUUUUUUUUUUGCACUAGGAGUCCUAUUGAUAGUAUUGCUGAAACAGCAAUGAGAGGAGAUAUUGUAAGAAAAAGCACUGAGUUGCAGAAAGGAAAAAAAUGGUCAAAGUUCUAUCAUAAACAUGAAUUCUAUGUGUCAAGAUCUGCUCCACAGUUUCUCUGACUUCUAUCACCUUUCUGCAUUGCUGUCACCCUAUUUAAAACUUCUAAUAUCUCUUUUCAGGAAAAUCACAAUGGCCUACUUCUUGGCUUCUUUUUCUCAUUAUCCAUCUCAAUCAAUCAAUUGAUCAAUAAUU